GCGCUCCUACGGGACGCAGCAGUGGGGAAUAUUGCACAAUGGGCGCAAGCCUGAUGCAGCGACGCCGCGUGCGGGAUGGAGGCCUUCGGGUUGUAAACCGCUUUUGUUCAAGGGCAAGGCACGGUCUUUGGCCGUGUUGAGUGGAUUGUUCGAAUAAGCACCGGCUAACUACGUGCCAGCAGCCGCGGUAAUACGUAGGGGGCAAGCGUUAUCCGGAUUUAUUGGGCGUAAAGGGCUCGUAGGCGGUUCGUCGCGUCCGGUGUGAAAGUCCAUCGCUUAACGGCGGAUCGGCGCCGGGGACGGGG
rnacentral:rRNA from 1 species